GGAAUUUGUAGCAUUUAUUCUGUGUUUGUAGAUAAUAAAGUUAUUAUUAUUUAAUAUUUAUUAUAAAAUUAUGAUGGGAGGCUUUCGUGCUCAUUCAAAUGUCUAACUUCAAAAUUUUCAUGAACUUACUGUGUUGAUACGUGGCAUACUGAGGCUCUCGAGUAUCGGCAGUCAGCAAUACUUCAAAUUAUCAAAUACUCGUUUAAUAAUAUUUUUGUCAAUCGCACUCGUUGAUAAUGCAAUCCAAAUAUAAGUUGACCAAAUCAAUUGUGAGGUGGUUGUGCACUCGUCAUUGUUCCUGCAUAAAUACUACCACUUUGAGGAUUUUUGAAACGUGACAAAUGUAAUGAAACUGUACACCGGUAGCUUGCUACGCUGGAAUUCACUACAAAGGUCAAGUGAAAUACAGAAAACACGAGUAUGACCUCAUCGGAGUACAAGUUUUAAGAUAUCCAUCCUACGGGGAACCUAAACAAAUAUAACAUGUCAUUUUUCGAGAGCAAUGAUGGCAGGUAGUGCCAAAUACAUUACUCGUAUCAUUAAGUUGUGUCCAAGAUUCAAAGGAGACAUUUGAGAAUACUUAUGUAAGAUAUGUACUGACAUCACCUGAAUUGUAACUAUGAACCAACAAAGUUGUAGACAGUCCUCUACGUGGACAUUUCACUCAGAAGUGCCAUAACAAUGACCACAACUGUUGAUUGAACAUAAUUAUGUAACUCAGGAUUGUUGUCAUUGCCCAUCAUUGCGGAAAUAAACCAUCAAUCAACAUAAUUAUUCACAAAAUUGUUUUUCUGCUAACAGUAUAUCAUAUGAAUCCAAUAAAAACAAAAUGAGCCCUUUAAAGGCUUCCUCUGCAAAAA